rnacentral:rRNA from 1 species
CCUANGGGUGGCAGCAGUAAGGAAUAUUGGACAAUGGUCGGAAGACUGAUCCAGCCAUGCCGCGUGAAGGACGAAGGCGCUCAGCGUUGUAAACUUCUUUUGGAUGGGGAUAAUAAUUCCGAUUUAUCGGGACUUGAAGGUACCAUCAGAAUAAGCACCGGCUAACUCCGUGCCAGCAGCCGCGGUAAUACGGAGGGUGCGAGCGUUAUCCGGAAUCACUGGGUUUAAAGGGUGCGUAGGCGGCGAGGUAAGUCAGUUGUGAAAUUCCCCGGCUCAACCGGGUGGACUGCGAUUGAUACUGCUUUGCUUGAAACAGGUUGAGGUAAGCGGAAUGUGGCAUGUAGCGGUGAAAUGCAUAGAUAUGCCAUAGAACACCGAUUGCGAAGGCAGCUUGCUGGGCCUGCUUUGACGCCGAGGCACGAAAGCGUGGGGAGCAAACAGGAUUAGAUACCCCANUANUC